UUUCCGUAGGUGAACCUGCGGAAGGAUCAUUAUUGAAUAAACAGUGUGGGUUGUUGCUGGCCUUCUGGCAUGUGCACGCCUGCCAUAUGUUUCAUUCCCUUCUUUCCACCUGUGCACUAUGUGUAGGCUAUGUAUGCUGUAUUGUCAGGCCCUUCAUAAGGCUUGGUUUAGAGAGGAUGCUUGUCUUUAUGAGACAGGCUCAUCUUGGGCGUACAGGUCUAUGUUUUACACCAACCCCAAAUGAAUGUCUUAGAAUGUAUUUUUUCAGGCUCUUGCUAGCCUUUAAACCAUAUACAACUUUCAACAACGGAUCUCUUGGCUCUC
rnacentral:misc_RNA from 1 species